rnacentral:lncRNA from 1 species
UUUUUGUUAACCCAAUUUUUGAUCACUGUUUUCUGAUAUUUUCCAAUCCAUGUUCUCUCCCUCCCUCUCUCACUACCCCUUCCCUAAGAAGACAGAUAAUUAUGGUAUAAAUUUUACAUGUAUUAUCAUAUAUUCCCUAUUUCCUUGUUUGUCAUAGCAUACAAGAAGACAUAUUGGUUACACAAGAGAAAAAUUCAUGGAGGAAAUAAAGUGAAGAAUGGCAUGCUUCAAUUUGCAUUCAGAUUCUGCCAGUUUCUUCUUUGGAGGUGGAUAGACUUUUUUUGUCAUGAAUCUCUUGGAGUUGUCCUAGAGUCUUACAUUCCUGAUAAUAGGAUGGUGAAAUUGAAAAUGCAUGUUUUGGAAGAAUUUUGGCUGCCGAUUUACCAAUUUACCAAUUUCUCCAUGGGAUGAAUAGUUUCAAUCUUGCCCUCAGCCAUAAGAUUGAAUCCAAAAUCCUAGACAUGUUACAAAUGUGAGUUAUUGGUAGAAUAUAUGCUUCUUGAGAGCAGGAACUGCCAUUUGGUCUUUGUAUUCCCAAAAUCCAAUAUAGGGCCUAGCAUAUAGCUAAUGCUUACUAAUGCCUGUCAUAUUGGAUUGGAAAUAAUUGUGAAUAAGGUGAAAGGGUGUGAGUUUGUGGAUGACUCAGUGAAAUCUCAUCCUGGCCAUUGGGAUCAGGAAUCAUCACCCCACAAUGGUAAGUCAGAAAGGAUUACCUCUGUCUCUUGAAAUUAAUUAUUUCCUUUAAGACCUACCUCAUGGGUCACCUUCUAUGUAAAGCCUUUGGUAGUUUCCUCUGCCCUUAGGAUGCACUAAAUGGCUAUUCUCCUCUUCCCUCUUCUUUAUACCCAAAUUAUCCCAUGUUCAUUUUACAUAUAUUAUGCAUAUACAUAUAUUCUUAUCAUUUUCAUCAUUAGAAUAUAUAUUUCUUGGGGUCAAGGACUUUGUUACUUUUGGUUUUGUAUUCAUAACAAACACAGUGCCUAGCACAUAGCAGGUGCUUAAUAAAUACUUCUUGAUUAAGUUAUUAUAUAUAACA